UAUCAUUAUUAGUUAAGUUGUAUCCUUAUAAGUUUAGUUUUGAAUCCUUAUUUUGCUAUAUGGUUAAGAAUAUGCGACUGAUUACUGGACUGA